UACGUAGGCAGCAAGCGUUGUUCGGAGUUACUGGGCGUAAAGGGUGUGUAGGCGGUUGCUUAAGUUUGGUGUGAAAUCCCCCGCUUAACUGGGAGGGUGCGCCGAAUACUGAGUGACUAGAGUGCGGGAGAGGAGAGUGGAAUUCCUGGUGUAGCGGUGAAAUGCGUAGAUAUCAGGAGGAACACCGGUGGUGUAGACGGCUCUCUGGACCGUAACUGACGCUGAGACGCGAAAGCGUGGGGAGCAAACAGG
rnacentral:rRNA from 1 species